rfam:Picea glauca, whole genome shotgun sequence.
AUGUACAUUCCCAUAGCAUAUUGUUAAUGCACUGAAUCACAUUAGAACUUUGCAGUUAAGUGCACUCAGACUAGCUAGAGUAGUAUUGGGAUGGGUGACCACUCAGGAAGUCUUAGUGUUUUACAUG